rnacentral:rRNA from 1 species
UACGGAGGGUGCAAGCGUUAUCCGGAUUUACUGGGUUUAAAGGGUGCGUAGGCGGCCAACUAAGUCGGACGUGAAAUCCCUCAGCUUAACUGGGGAACUGCGUCCGAUACUGGAUGGCUUGGAUUUGGGAGAGGGAUGCGGAAUUCCAGGUGUAGCGGUGAAAUGCGUAGAUAUCUGGAGGAACACCGGUGGCGAAGGCGGCAUCCUGGACCAAUAUUGACGCUGAGGAGCGAAAGCUAGGGGAGCAAACGGG